CUCGAGGCCAGAUCUUUCCGGUUGAUCCCGCCGGACCCGACCGCUAUCGGGGUAGGGCUAAGCCAUGCGAGUCGCGCGCCCGGGGGCGCCCGGGAGCGGCGCACGGCUCAGUAAAACGUGCCUAACCUAACCUCGGGAGGGGGACACCCCCGGGAAACUGGGGUCAAUCCCCCAUAGGGGAAGGGCGCUGGAAGGCCCCUUCCCCGAAAGGGACGGCGGCCGAUCCGUCGCCGUCCGCCCGAGGGUGGGGGCACGGCCCAUCAGGUAGUUGGCGGGUUAAAGGCCCGCCAAGCCGAAGACGGGUAGGGGCGGUGAGAGCCGCGAGCCCCGAGAUCGGCACUGAGACAAGGGCCGAGGCCCUACGGGGUGCAGCAGGCGCGAAUGCUCCGCAAAUGGGGAGAGGCCGGCUCAGGCGGAGUAGCCCUCUUAUAAUCUUAAGGAGCUCUACUGGAACGUCUGCCGGCCCUCCCCAGCGGAAUGCGGGCAACCGCGACGGGGCUACCCCGAGUGCCGGGCGAAGAGCCCGGCUUUUGCCCGGUCUAAAACGCCGGGCGAAUAAGCGGGGGGCAAGUCUGGUGUCAGCCGCCGCGGUAAUACCAGCUCCGCGAGUGGUCGGGGUGUUUACUGGGCUUAAA
rnacentral:rRNA from 1 species